UACAGGGGGGGCUGGCGUUACUCAACGUUACUGGGCGUAAAGGGCAGGCAGACGGUACCUGUAUGACAAUUUAGCAAAUCCUGCUAUGCAGUCGAGUAGAAGAUAAAUUGAUAACAGGGUACUAGAACCGAAAAGAGGUUGGCAGAAUUUUUAGAGUAGGGGUCCAAUCCGUCGAUACUAGAAGGAAUUCCAACGGGCGAAGGCGGCUCUCCGGUUUCGGUUGACGUUAAUCUGCGAAGGUGCGGGUAUCGAACGGG
rnacentral:rRNA from 1 species